UUCUUUCAUAUUUGAACUGUUUCCUCUGUAAGGGUUUAGUUGGAUUAUUCACUUGCAUAUAUUCAGCUUAGCAUUCCAAGUGUUUGCUAAAAUGCCAAAGUUGAUUUUAAUUUGAACACUUUGUUGGUCGGCUUUAUUUUGUAUUAUCUAAUUUAGCUUUGUAAAUAAGAAUUGGGAAAUGAAGAGAAAUUAGAAAAGCUUAGUUCUUUAUAAUAAAACUAAUUUCAAUGAACGCAACAAUUCCAUAAUGAGGGUGAAAAUGAAAUUAGAAGUGAGAACAGUGAAGAGAUUUGUACGUUGUAUCAAUUUGUAAGAUUUUUUAGUGUUGGUGAAAUUUUGUCUUUUUAGUUCUUUUUCUUUGUUAUAUUGACUUUUUGAAUAAUAGUUUCAUGUACGAGUAUGCCAUGCUUCAAGAUGCCAAGUACGGUCAAGUUUUCAUGUGUUUAGGCUUGCACAAAACUUAAGUAUUUCUUCCUAGGAUUCAUGUUAUAUGGAUAUUAGCCUCUCACCCUGUGCUUUGCAUGCUUGAGACCUUUUCAACAGAACCGAAGUUUGAGAAAACUGUUGGAAUCAGUGGAGUGGGGAAUAAAUUUUAAAACUCAACGAUGGUCCAGUCAUUAGUUCAAGAACUCAAAGUCCAGAAUUGCUUCAAUGACUCCGGUUCCAUGCUUUCUGUUUAUUAAUCUUCAAUAUGCAGAGCAUCAAUUCUUUAAAUGGUACGAAUCUCUCUCUCACACAAAGCUAUCCCUAAUUUAUGUUUGAUUGACUGAAACUUUGGCUAGGGUCUAGGUCUGUGUUUGUGUUUGUAAUUAUUUAUGUGUUUUACUUAUGAAAUUAAAAAGUCUUUGGAAUUUUAUCUCAACAAAUGGAAUCGCCUCUCACCUCGCACUCUCGGACGCAUAAUGGUUCCAGAAGACGCAGAGGAAACUAUAUUUAAGGAAUUAAAAGCAAAAUGAGGAUCAGAGUUGGAGGGAGUUCAAGAAUAACAUGAAAGCAAAACAAAAGGGAAGCAUCAUGGUGAGUGAUAAGCACUGAUCAUGACUUCUUCGAGCAGUGAACCAAAGUCGCUCUUCUUCAUGGACAAGUCCAAAGGUACCUUAUUCAUACCUUUGUUUUUUUGUUUUUUGUUUUGAGUGACAUAUUUGUCUUUUUUCGCUUUCAGUAAUUGACUUCUGUAUAACAAAUCCCAAUUUCAGGUCAGCUGCCGGAAUUAGGUUUUUUUAGUUUAGAUAAGGUCGCUUUGUGUAAUCCCUCUAAUUUUACAUUUGUAUUGUUAUGAAUUUCUGAUUUUAGUUUUGGAAUAGAUUUAUUUAUUUAUUACCAUUUAUUGUUUCGUAUGAGAGGGUCUUAUGCCAAUGUACAAGUUUUUUACAAUACAUUUCGAAGUUUUUGAAGUUCACGUUCCAUCAGCAGCUAAUGCAGAUGGGGUUGUGGAUUUAAUUUAUGGGAUAAUUUGUGUAGCCUGUAAUCAUUGGGAAUGUUUUGUUUAUGGCAUUUUUUAAUGGGUUUUAUUUUUCGUUUGGUAGAAUGCAUUUUAUUGUGGUUUUAGUGUUUAGGGUGAUAGAGUGGUGGAGAUGCAGAUGGAGGUGUGGGUACUUUGGCCAUGUUAAAAGGAAAUUGCAAGUUUAUGGUUUGGUUUAAACAAUUGUGUGGCUGUGUGUUCGCUUUAGGUGAAGGUGUCGUGAUGCAAAAGAAACUAUGUUUCUAGCUUUAAAUUCUGUGUUUCUAUGUACUAAUUGGGCGAUUUCUCAAUGUUUCUAUUAGGUAAUUUCAUAUGGAUGCUAGAAGAGACAUAAUUUUCUGUGGUGGCAAUUACACUGUGAGCUUUUCUCAUUCUUCCUGUCAAAAUUUAUAUAAACUGUGUAAUUUGAUUUCUGAAAACUGCUUUUGUCCCUAAUGAUGUUUAUAUGGAUGCUAUAAGUUUUGGUGAAAAUUAAAGUUUGCGAAGAAUGUCAUCUCUCAUUUAUAGCAGUUGCUUUAUCCAGGAAUGUCAUAUAUGUAACUUUAAAGUUGUUGGCUUUGAAUAAACCAAACACUUGAAGGGCUAAUCUGUUUUAGUAUUUGAAGGGCAUGGUGAAGCUGAUAAUAACACACCCAUAAUGACACGUUGCGAUAGACUUAUUCCGAAACAUAAGUCUAUUGUUUUGAUGGAUUGUUUUAGUAUUCUUAAUAUCUUGCUUCAUAUUAAGUUUUUUUUUAGUUGUUUUUUUUUUAAAAUAAUAUAAAUGCAGAUCCAAUUUGCUGCAUGAGGCUACCAAAGAAGAUAGUAGCAGGAGAGCAUAAAAGUGCUGCCGGAGGAGGUUUAUGUACAAGCAGUAGCUAAAAGGAUUUUAAUUGUCAUGAAUUUUUUGUUUAUUCUUUUCCUUUUUCAAUGGUUGCAAUACUAGCUUUUUUUAUUAUUAUUUGUUGUUGUUCAACAUUGCAAUACUAGCUUCAAUUACUGUAUUUUGGUGUAACGAGUUUUGUUUUAAAUAAAGACUUAUUCAAUUACAUCUGUUCCAAAUUCGGUUCAAUGGUUAACAAUGAUAAUUGUUAUCAAUAAAUACAAAGAGGAAUUUAAAUUA